rnacentral:rRNA from 1 species
CCUACGGGGUGCAGCAGUCGAGAAUCAUUCACAAUGGGGGAAACCCUGAUGGUGCGACGCCGCGUGGGGGAAUGAAGGUCUUCGGAUUGUAAACCCCUGUCAUGUGGGAGCAAAUUAAAAAGAUAGUACCACAAGAGGAAGAGACGGCUAACUCUGUGCCAGCAGCCACGGGAAUACAGAGGUCUCAAGCGUAGUUCGGAUUCACUGGGCGUAAAGCGUGCGUAGGCUGUUUCGUAAGGCGUGUGUGAAAGGCGCGGGCUCAACACGCGGAAGGCACAUGAUACUGCGAGACUAGAGUAAUGGAGGGGGAACCGGAAUUCUCGGUGUAGCAGUGAAAUGCGUAGAUAUCGAGAGGAACACUCGUGGCGAAGGAGGGUUCCUGGACAUUAACUGACGCUGAGGCACGAAGGCCAGGGGAGCGAAAGGGAUUAGAUACCCGUGUAGUC